CAUGCAGUCGAGGGGUAUAGUUCUUCGGAAUUAGAGACCGGCGCACGGGUGCGUAACGCGUAUGCAAUCUACCUUUCACAGAGGGAUAGCCCAGAGAAAUUUGGAUUAAUACCUCAUAGUAUAACGACUCUGCAUGGAGAUGUUAUUAAAGUCACAACGGUGAAAGAUGAGCAUGCGUCCCAUUAGCUAGUUGGUAAGGUAACGGCUUACCAAGGCUACGAUGGGUAGGGGUCCUGAGAGGGAGAUCCCCCACACUGGUACUGAGACACGGACCAGACUCCUACGGGAGGCAGCAGUGAGGAAUAUUGGACAAUGGGCGCAAGCCUGAUCCAGCCACGCCGCGUGCAGGAUGACGGUCCUAUGGAUUGUAAACUGCUUUUGCACANGAAGAAACAACGCUACGUGUAGCGUCUUGACGGUACUGUGAGAAUAAGGAUCGGCUAACUCCGUGCCAGCAGCCGCGGUAAUACGGAGGAUCCAAGCGUUAUUCGGAAUCAUUGGGGUUUAAAGGGUCCGUAGGCGGUUUAUUAAGUCA
rnacentral:rRNA from 1 species